GCUUCCUGCUUUCGGUUGCUAGACUACCCGGGCCCUCACAGAAGGCGGUGGCGGGCGGGUGCAGCGAGUUUGUCCCCUUGCCCGCACACUGCUUGGCCUCUGUACUUAAGUGCGGUGGCCGCCUGCCUCGCUGGAGCUUCUCUGCCGCAGCCAUCCGUGCUGCUUGGGACGGGCCGGGGCGCGAAGGCGGUCGCAUCCAUCGCUCUGCCCUCCUGGGAAGUUUCUGCUCUCCUUCCCCGCUCCUACCCUUAGGAAACCCCCUCACCACCUGCCCCAGACCAGCUUCUCUUGUGUAAUCAGCUGCCUAUUUGGAAAUUGGGCAGGGUUUGCGACUGGAUGCUAAUGUCACUGACUAGUUUUCAGCCUACCAUCCAGAAGUAACAUGUUCCCAGCUUUGGAAACGCACCUAAAGCAGACUAUUCCUGAUCCUUAUGAAGACUUUAUGUACCGUCACCUCCAAUAUUAUGGCUACUUUAAAG
rnacentral:lncRNA from 1 species